UCUCAAGUUAAGAAACUUGACUCAUAUUCCAACUUUGAAACAGAUAAAGAUGCAAGAAAAUUCCAUAAUGCAAUCCAAUUUCUAUUCAGCAACCAAAAAAUAGCAAGCAUAAGAAAGUCAUCCAUAUAAAACCAAUUAAUAUUUAGUUACAUUGUAAGUAUUAAGUACUGCAAUUGGAGAAAAUUUCAACCGUCAGAUGACCCAUUCCACCCUUCCCUAUAGCCAGAAGGACCUAACAUUAAAAGACACAUCGCAACAUUUGCACGAGAUAAUGGUUCAAAAGGAAGUGCUUUAGUUUGGGACCCCGUUGAUCCCUUGAAAUCAUUAAAAGACAAGUCACUGCAUCUUCACUAAAUUAAGAUUCAAGAGGAAGUGCUUCAGUUUGGUUUGGUUUUGGACUCCACUAAUCCUUUGAAAACAUCAAAAGAUACAUCACAUCUUCACUAGAUAAAGGUUCAUAAGGAAGCACUUCAGUUUGGUUUUGUUUUGGACUCAGCUGAUCCCUUGAAAGCAUAAAAGGUGCAUCGCAGCAUCUUCACUAAAUAGAUCACGAGGAAGUGCUUCAACUUGGUUUUGUUUUGGACUCAAAUGAUCCUUUGAAAGUACUAAAAAACACAUUUCAACAUUUUCACUAGAUAAGGAUUCAUGAGAAAGAGCAGAGAGGAGAACUGAACUUACAAAGUCAUAUGGUGAGCCCACCAUGUUCAUACAAAGACAUUUAGAUCUUCCUCAGUUAGGUUUUUGGGAGACUAAGCCUCGCUAGACGGUUCAUGUUUGAAAGGUUCAUGUUUGGAAGGACAACUAAGUGAAGAAAAGGCUGGUUUGAAGAUCUAAAUGAAGAAAGGUUCAUGUGACGAAAACUAGGAGAAGAUGAUCUCAAUUAAGUUCACCAUUCCUCUUAAACUCAGCUUACCAUCUUCUUCUUCAAA
rnacentral:lncRNA from 1 species